GGAAGCGGCCAAGUCCACAGUCCUGCUCCCGUGCCGCCGAGCACCGCCCACCUCAGCUGACCAGCCCUGUCCGCUACUAGGCCUCGCCUAGAGGAGGGAAAGGCCGUGGCGUCCGCUCCCUCCGCGGCUCAUGGCGACGACGCUUGGCACAUCCGGGACCCUCAGGCCGCUGCAGUCGCGUCGCCGGCUGCUCGGGCCCCAGCCCCGGCCGCUGUGGUGACUCCGCCGCGCCUCGCCGUCGCCCCCGUCCCGCCCGCCGCCCCAGCCGCCAGGGACAUGUCUAACCUCGGAGGCCGUAGGAACGGGCCUGUCGAAGUGCGCCUGACAGGUGAAGGGGGCGCGGCGGGCCGGGCUGGGCAGCCGCGAGGGACAUGCCACCCCCGUUUUAGGAGAACUUGUAUUUGGUUUGAGAAGGAAUUGGAAUCACGGCGUUAUCCUACCUUCACCAUUUACCCCUGAUAAAUUGUCCACGUUUAUAUUUGGGAAUCAUAUUGACAGGUCAUGAAAAUGAGACCAAAAGAUCUCUGGAAGCGAUUAAUGAUAAAAUUUCAUGGAGAAGAAGGCCUUGACUACGGAGGGGUUGCCAGGGUGAUGACAACUCCGUGAGGGUGGAGAUUAUACAUCUCUCAUCAUUUCAGCAACAAGGAAAUAAAUUAGUGGCAGAGUAAGGGUGACUUGAGAUCUCUUGGAAGCGAGGAUCCUUUAAAAAUCCUGGAAUAUACACUGCAGUAAAAGAACAAAGCAUACCUCAGCCUUAAACGACUGAAGAAGAAUGUCAAGUGGGGAAGUGGCUUUGGUUUUCAGUUUGUGGGUUCUGAAUCCACACAAAGACAGGAUUGCUUUCUGAAAACCUGAAUUAAUUAUUGUCCUUACCUCAAUAAGACAAAAAAUUAGAAUCAAAAUCGUUAGUAUUACAGUCACAGAUAUCACCAAG
rnacentral:lncRNA from 10 species